rnacentral:rRNA from 1 species
UGAGUACGAGAUGCUACGGCAUCGAAGCAGUCUAUGUCAUACUUCCAAGAAAAGCUUGCACUGUCAUAAACAAAUAAUGCCUGUACCAUAACCGACACAGGUGGGUAGGUAGAGUAUACUAAGGGGCGCGAGAUAACUCUCUCUAAGGAACUCGGCAAAAUGACUCCGUAACUUCGGGAGAAGGAGUGCCUUAUUUUUAUAAGGUUGCAAUAACAAGAUCCAAGCAACUGUUUACCAAAAACACAGGUCUCCGCUAAGUCGUAAGACGAUGUAUGGGGGCUGACGCCUGCCCAGUGCCAGAAGGUUAAAGAAGUUGGUUAGCAUUAGCGAAGCUGAUAACUGAAGCCCUGGUGAACGGCGGCCGUAACUAUAACGGUCCUAAGGUAGCGAAAUUCCUUGUCGGGUAAGUUCCGACCCGCACGAAAGGCGUAAUGAUUUGGAUACUGUCUCGGAGAGGGGCUCGGUGAAAUAGACUUGUCUGUGAAGAUGCGGACUACCUGCACCUGGACAGAAAGACCCUAUGAAGCUUUACUGUAACUUGAGAUUGAAAUUGGACUUUAUCUGCGCAGUAUAGGUGGGAGACGUUGAAAAUAUUCUUGCGGGAAUAUUCGAGUCAUCAGUGAGAUACCACUCUUAUAAUGUUAGAUUUCUAACUUUGUAUCAUUAUCUGGUCAAAGAACAGUUUCAGGCGGGCAGUUUGACUGGGGCGGUCGCCUCCCAAAUGGUAACGGAGGCGCACAAAGGUUUCCUCUGAACGUGUAGAAAUCGUAUCUAGAGUGUAAAGGCAUAAGGAAGCUUGACUGUGAGACCUACAAGUCGAGCAGGGACGAAAGUCGGUCUUAGUGAUCUGACGGUGCUGAGUGGAAAGGCCGUCACUCAACGGAUAAAAGUUACUCUAGGAUAACAGGCUGAUCUCCCCCAAGAGUUCACAUCGACGGGGAGGUUUGGCACCUCGAUGUCGGCUCAUCGCAUCCUGGGGCGGUAGUACGUCCCAAGGGUUGGGCUGUUCGCCCAUGAAAGCGGUACGCGAGCUGGGUUCAGAACGUCGUGAGACAGUUCGGUCCAUAUCCGGUGUAGGCGUUAGAAUAUUGAGAGGAGCCUUCUUUAGUACGAGAGGACCGAGAAGGACAUACCUCUGGUGUACCGGUUAUCGUGCCAACGGUAAACGCUGGGUAGCUAUGUAUGGAGAGGAUAACCGCUGAAAGCAUCUAAGUGGGAAGCCCACCUCAAGAUAAG